rnacentral:rRNA from 1 species
UACGUAGGGAGCAAGCGUUGUCCGGAAUCAUUGGGCGUAAAGCGCGCGUAGGCGGCCAGAUAAGUCCGGUGUGAAAGUCACAGGCUCAACCUGUGAAUGCCGCUGGAAACUGUCUGGCUUGAGUCCGGAAGGGGCGAGUGGAAUUCCUGGUGUAGCGGUGAAAUGCGCAGAUAUCAGGAGGAACACCAAUGGCGAAGGCAGCUCGCUGGAACGGUACUGACGCUGAGGCGCGAAAAGCGUGGGGAGCGA